rnacentral:rRNA from 1 species
UACGAAGGGUGCAAGCGUUACUCGGAAUUACUGGGCGUAAAGGGCUCGUAGGCGGCCAACUAAGUCAGACGUGAAAUCCCUCGGCUUAACCGGGGAACUGCAUCUGAUACUGGAUGGCUUGAGAUUGGGAGAGGGAUGCGGAAUUCCAGGUGUAGCGGUGAAAUGCGUAGAUAUCUGGAGGAACACCGGUGGCGAAGGCGGCAUCCUGGACCAACACUGACGCUGAGGAGCGAAAGCCAGGGGAGCAAACGGG